AUUGAACGCUGGCGGCAGGCCUAACACAUGCAUGUCGAACGAGUGGCGGACGGGUGAGUAAUGUAUGGGAAACUGCCUGAUGGAGGGGGAUAACUACUGGAAACGGUAGCUAAUACCGCAUACCAUCGGAUGUUCCCAGAUGGGAUUAGCUAGUAGGUGGGGUAAAGGCUCACCUAGGCGACGAUCCCUAGCUGGUCGGAGAGGAUGACCAGCCACACGGGAACUGAGACAAGGUCCAGACUCCGACGGGAGGCAGCAGUGGGGAAUAUUGCACAAUGGGCGCAAGCGUGAUGCAGCCAUGCCGCGUGUAUGAAGAAGGCCUUAGGGUUGUAAAGUACUUUCAGCGGGGAGGCGUUACCCGCAGAAGAGGCACCGGCUAACUCCGUGCCAGCAGCCGCGGUAAUUC
rnacentral:rRNA from 1 species